UACGGAGGGUGCGAGCGUUAUCCGGAUUCACUGGGUUUAAAGGGUGCGUAGGUGGGCAGGUAAGUCAGUGGUGAAAUCUCCGGGCUUAACCCGGAAACUGCCAUUGAUACUAUCAGUCUUGAAUACCGUGGAGGUAAGCAGAAUAUGUCAUGUAGCGGUGAAAUGCUUAGAGAUGACAUAGAAUACCUAUUGCGAAGGCAGCUUACUACGCAGAUAUUGACGCUCAUGCACGAAAGCGUGGGGAUCAAACAGG
rnacentral:rRNA from 1 species